AUCAGGCUAUAUAUACAUAUUACUGUAAACUUCAGGAUUAAAUCAGAACAAAACAGUAGUCAUAGUUAAUACAUAAACGUUUUAUUUUGAUUUUUAGCUCAAUAAUAAAUUUAAUUCGAUUCUUAUGGAAUGAACGGAGCAAAAAAAAAAAGGAUCCGGCGACUAAAUCCGACUACCUGAAGUAUUUCGGCGCCGGAAGUCCGCCAACGAGAAAGCCUUUCCACCGGAAGUAAUUGUUUUGGGUCGGAGGUAAUGCGGAAACUUAUUGCGUUUUGUAAAUGUGAGCUGCGUCCGAAUUGCCAAGUAGUAGUCGAAGUAGUAGUCGAAGUAGUAUCUAGCAUGUCCGAAUUGGCCACCGGAGCGAGUAGCAUGCUACUUCAGAUACUACUUCAGAUGCUAGACACGCCCACAUUGUAGGUUGGUCUCGGUGCAUCCUACGGGCAUGCUACUGACCCAAAAUGCACCGCGGGCUUCUUCUUCGUCCUCUUAAAAGUUGUAGAAGCGCAUGUGAUGCUAGCGCCACCAGCCGCUCUGCCUAUUUAAAUGUGUCGCGAACGCCGGCUGGCCGCAGCAGCGCGCACCAUGUCGGAGCAGCAGCAGCAGCAGGCAGGACCGCAGCAGUACAGAUGUAAGUUUCAUGUAACUUCACACACUGUCCUAAAAAAUGUGCGGUUGUAUCUCUUUGUCAUGUCAUGGUGUCAUAUUUGCCCAAGUAAUCAUUUUAUGAGCAAGUGGCGAAAUCAUGGAGGUAAAGCUCACUUAUUCCAUCAUUAAACUGCACAGCUGCAGUACUACAGCCAGGCCCGCAGAUGAGGGGCUUCAGUUACCACUGUCUGCACGGGCGCAGUACCUACUCUCUGCCUGCGGGGGUCGUCUUUCCCCACCGCUCGUCUAGUGUGUCCGAAUUGGGCCAACGUUUUUAGUAUGUAGGAGUAGGAUCUAGCAGUAGCACGUAGCAGUAGCAUGUAGUAUCCGAGCGGGCAGUUCGGACGCAGCAGUGGUUUUCUAUCUUUGGGUCCGCCAUCUUGCGCUGCAUCUGGUCACCUCUCGGAAUAAGGGGGAUAUACAAAUUAAGGAUUUAUUUUUCAGACAUUUAAAAUUUAAAAACAAAAGGUGUAUCUCAUGCAGGCAGUUGAGCCAUCCCAUUCUAAUUUUAAGUCAAUUGAUCACAUGACCUAGAAGCUAAUGAGCUAAAAUGCGAAUAUUUAUGUAUAAAAAUGAAUUUAAUUUAAACGUACUCCACUACUUGCACCAUGCACAAAUACACCUCUUACACGUUUUGCUUUUACAUUUCAAAUCUCUAAUUAUUUUAAUUAUUUUAAAAUAUAUUUUUAUAUACAAAUAUUCGCAUUUCAGCUUCCAGGGGCUUCAUUUAUAAAACUGUGCAUAGAAAAUAUCACUACAGGUGGUUUACACCGGAAAAACAGGAAAUGUGUGCACAAAAAACUUUCAGAUUUAUAACAGUGCACAAACACAUCCCACACCUGUUUUCCAUUUAUAAAUCACAAUCAACUCUGAAAUUGUUACACCUGAGGAAAUGCUUUGAAAGUGGAGGUGAAAAGGUGUAUUGCCCUCCACAGAAAGAGUGUGUGCGCGAGUCGCGACAGGUGGGGGAAAGGGCACCACCACAGAGGAAAAGCUGGCGAAGAUCAUUGGGGAAUCCUUCCUUAGUGGUGUGGUGACGGAGGCGGAGGGGGACACAUAUGCACCAAAUGCGCCAGAAGCACCAGAUGAAGGUAAUUGUAUUUUGUUGGAAAUAGUAAAAAUGAAAAUUUACAAACAUUUGGAACAUAAUUCACAAUAGUUUACCUUAUUUAAAGUUAAAUAAAAUUUCUUAUUAAUAUAUGUCCCUGCAUGUUCCAGCUGGGUCGGUGGUGCUGCAGCUGUGACUGGAGAGAGUGAAGCCGGUGACUCCACAGCACCAGUGCGCCCUCCCGCAGCAGCCGUGUCCUCACAGCUGCAGUCCUGCACAUUAAGAGGGACACAAUCACAUCCAUCAAUGAAGUGGCCAAGGAGUUACGAGAAAUCAAAUGUGUCUUGACAGCCAUGGGUGCAACACUGAAACAGCUGGUGAACAAAUAAAAAAAGUUUUGCCUCUACCGCUUGUGUGUUGCAUCACUUUCAGCCGCUGCGUUUAUAAAUGAGGCCCCAGGUCAAGUGAUCAAUUGACUCAAAAUAAGUGUGGAAUCAGAGUACUCCACUGGCUGCAUGAUAUACACUUUUUAUUUUUACAUUUCAAAUCUCAAAUUUUAAGUAAUAAUAAUAGUGAAGGGUCACCACUCAAUCUGGAGUUAAGAGUUAAAUAUAUUGACUAUGAAUCAUAAGUUCAGUGUGAAUUUUUCUUGAUAUUCCGUGUACGAAUCACUCACUGAGCCCAAUUUACCGAUCAGACAUGAUAAAUAGCAUGCCAUAGGACAGUACACUUACAACAUCAUGACUUAUAAACAAGUUUAUUAUUACAAACCUGUUUGCCAAAGCAACAAAGCCAAACACUCUUGUCUACCAGUCCUAGAAGCCAUGUACUGAACUGAAUCCUGAAUCAUUCAGCUCUGUAUCAGUUCAGGAGGUUGGAGCCAUGGGCUCCUCCCGCCAAGCGCUUAAUGAUUCGGUUAACAAAUCUUUUGAAAAAAUCUUUUUAAUAAAAUGAUUCUAGUUAUUCAGUACAUCUAAAAGAACUGCCAUGCCCAUCACUAACUCUGAAUCUUUUAUUAUUCACCGAUUACUAUUUAUCCUCAUUAUCUUAUCAUUUAUUGCAUGUAUGCUGUACCAUCAUUUAUCCUGUAAUAAACAGAUCAUUAUUUUUCCAAGUUCUUGUCUGUUAGUGUUCUUCCAAAAGUGGAGUCCCUGAAAUGAGAAUUUCGGCUUGAGAUAUAGGAUUGAUUAAUUUAAAAUUGACUUAAUUUCUGAAUUAAACUUUUGUUUUUCUUUAUUUUCCCACCAUUAAGGAUGGGUGGUGCCCCUUUCUACAAGUGCAUAAAUGUCAUAAUUAAAGAUUAUUAUCAAUUAUUAAUCUUAAGACAUUUAUUAUAAAUUCAAAUCGAUACAAUGACAUGUAAAACCAUUGUAUAAAAGGUUUCGCCUUUAACACGUAGCAAAGCAUACAUAUGCAAGGCUUAUUGUAAAAAAUUAUUUUACAACUGCAUUUAUUCCAUAACAGUAGAUCAACUCACAUACACUUUCAGUGGGAACAGUGCUGCUGGUCUCCCAUUUUUGCCAGUGCAUCAAAGUCUGGGGUUAGUUUUGUUGUGGCAAUUCUCAGGAUAGAUCUGAGGUGCUGGUCAGUUAACUCGGAUCAGUGACAGGAUUUGUUCGUGUUCAUGACGCUGAAUGUCUGCUCACACAAGUAGGUUGAGCUAAAAAACACCAGCAUCUUCUGUGCCAUUUUCCAGAGGUUUGGAAAUGUGGCUUUGUUGAGUGAAGCAUAAAAGUCAUUCAGUUUAAGAGAGUCAAACUUCUCCCUUAAGGUGGAGUCAGACUUAAGAUUGAUCAGUUCUAAUUGCAGGUAUUGUGGUGCUGUUUCAGGGUUAGAUGACAGGGGGCAGAACACCAGCUGAAGUGAAUUACCGAUUCUUUCAAAAUCAGAGAACCAACGGCAGAAUUCUCUGUGCAGGUCAUCCAGUGAUUUGCUGUACUUCUUUGCAUUUUGGUCGGCCUCUUUCUGCAUGACUAGUGAUGGAAAAUGACAGAUUUGUUUGAAAAUUGUCUGGAGAAUAAAGUCAGCUUGGAUUUGAUGGGUCUCACAUUUGUGUACAUGUCGUGCACAAACUGAUCUUUUCCCUGUAGUUUCAAGUUCAGCUCGUUCAUGUGGGAAAAUAUGUCCACAGCAAACACCAAGUCACAAAGCCAGUUCUUGUCACUCAACUCAGGAAAUUCGUUGGAUUUCCCAACCUCCCCAAAAAAUGUGCAAAUUGCCUCUUUGAGCUCCCACACUCUUUAAAAAGUGUUUCCCAAACUUAACCAGCAGACAAGAGAGUAGUAAAGCAAGUCCUGGUGAUCUGCGUCCACUCCUUCCAAAAGACUUGACACUCCCUGUCCCCUUUACAGAAAGGCUCAGAUGUGCAAUGUUAAAAUGAAGAAGAGAGUGGUGCUGCUUUCAUGUGCGUUUGGAAACAUCAGAGAAACAAAUUCAGAGUUGACUUGGGCAAAAAGUCAUAUUUGUCAUCUCCAGUACAUGGCAGACAAACGAUCUUUUGUGAUUUGAAAAACCUUGCGCAAGCAUGUCCACAUAAGUGAUUCACACGUGUUAGAAAAGUUAUUUGUCAACAUCAACUUGGGAUUUAACCCUAAAUAAAGAGCCAAAUCGUUAAAUGGACCUAGUGUUUUUGUCAUUAGGGAUCAACCAAGCAGCACCUGAAUGCAACAUAAUAUACCACAAUCUAACAAGGGAAAAUGUGUCUGAGUGCACCAUCUGCCACUAACAAAUUACACUUAGUUAUAUAGAUUUAACAAGUUUGGCAGGCCGGUGUGGUGUGACUGGUGAGUUGUGAGGAUCCAGAAGCAGACACAGAGACAGAGAUCAACUUAAGGUGUAAUUUUAAUGUCCAACUCAGGUUUUAAAGGCAAAAAGAGGAAGUCCGGUAGGCUGGCUGGCUGGCUGUCGUGUGGGCUGGAGAUACUGCAGGAAGAAACAGAGGAGAGAGAGAGAGAGAAGUGAGUAGACAUGCAAAGGAGCAGAGUUACAAGUAUUUAUACAACAAGGAAGGCCAGGAGACGCGUUUGUACCACUUGGAAGGGUAGACAAUACUCAGGCGCUGAGACUGAGGGCUGCUGGCUUCUUGAAGUGCCUUGAUUGCAGAUGUAGAGCAGGUGUGUAGUCUCACUCAGCCUCAGCGACCGGGGGAGGGAAGGGAGCUCUGGAAGAAAGUCGGCCGUGCGGGUGAGUGCGGCCCUGGCGGAUCUCCACAACUCCCGUAGACGCCCAAUGUGCUCUCUCACUGAUGGGACGGCCACCAGGUGCUCCUGUUCGGGAAACAGGGGGGGCUGGUAACCAAAACAGCACAUGAAGGGAGACAUACCUGUGGCCGAAGAGGUGAGGGAGUAAUGGGCGUAUUGGAUCCAUAGGAGGUGCGUACUCCAGGACGCUGGAUGAUGGGCCGCCACACACUGCAGGGCCGAUGUGAGGUUUUGAUUAGCCUGCUCCGUCUGGCCAUUGGUCUGCGGGUGGUAACCCGAGGAGAGGCUAGCUGCUGCGCCCACUGCCUGGCAGAAAGCUUUCCAGACCUGGGAAGAGAACUGGGGACCACGAUCUGAUACUAUGUCAAGGGGAAUCCCAUGUAGUUGGAACACAUGAGAUACCAGGAGGUUAGCAGUUUCUAAAGCAGACAGGAGCUUGGGAAACGGGACAUAAUGAACAAAUUUGGAAAAUCUAUCAACGAUGGUGAGUAUGACUGUGUUACCUUCAGAAGGGGGGAGACCAGUGACGAAAUCUAGGGCUAUGUGAGACCAGGGGCGUGAAGGCACAGGCAGAGGACGAAGCAAGCCAGCCGGAGGUUGGUGGGAGGCUUUGCCUCGGGCACAGACGGAGAGAGAGUGAGACUGAGGGCUGCUGGCUUCUUGAAGUGCCUUGAUUGCAGAUGUAGAGCAAGUGUGUAGUCUCACUCAGCCUCAGCGACCGGGGGAGGGGAGGGAACUCUGGAAGAAAGUCAAGCCAACCAGACAAACACGGAAACACAGGGGCUGUGUCUCAUUUCAGAGACCGCAUCGGGAUAAGCGCGCUUAAGCGCGCUUAGCUGAGCGCACUGCCGUUUUGUGCUGUUAUGUGCCAUUAUGCGCUGUUAUGUACCCUUCCUGUGUCCCAAUUCAGAUACCGCAACCGUCGAACGGCGCAUUUAAAGCGUGCGUGAGUUCAUCACGCUGCCCGAACGGUGUCCCAUUUGGCACAAAAUGCAAAGCGUGCUUCAAAUUCGGUCUCAAAACCACACUGCCCCCGCCUCUUUUUCAAGCGUGCAUUUAUGCACGCUUUUGUGCCGUUGGUAUCCCAGAAUUCUUUGAGUGCCGCUGCACAGCUGCGCAUUUCAGGUGAGAGGCUGGACUCGCUUGGAGACGCAGCGCGUCUUCAAAGAAAAUAAAAGAAAUCCAAAAACAGCAGACAGUCAGCUCAGGCUGUAUGAGAGCAUGAUCUCUGAACUCACUAAAAUCUGCAAACCAAACAUUAUAGAUUUAGAGACAACUGAUCCGCUCUGCUUCAACUAUCAAAAACAUUAGAAAUAAGAAAGCUGACAAAACUACAGCAAAGGAAAAGGACAUCAUUGAGUUUUUUUUUUCUUUUAAGAUUUAGAGAUUAAAGUUGUAAAUUUAGGAGAAUAAAGUCAUAAAGAAUAUAAAGUCAUAAAGCUGCUUUUGUGGAGGGGGAAAUGACUGAAGCUGGGCAUCUGCAGGGUUAUCUGUUGAUGUAUCAGCGGGUCAUUCGAGGGAUUUUGUGGUUUCUGAAGAAACAAUCAAACUGAUGAUGAUCAACAUUUGUGAUCCAGAGGGAGUUGAGCUCCGACGAGCACCAAGUCUCUGACACCGGCGGUAGCCUACACCUGUAGAGACACCAACACCUUAUUAUGGCAUAUGGAUUCAUAUCAUAAAUUAAAGCUCAAUGUCAUUCACGGAUAUUUACGACUGCAUGAUAUAUCUGCAGCAUAUUCAUUUCUGCAUCCACAAAAGCAGCGAUUUCCUUCAAGUACACCAGUUUUUUUCCCUGUGGAAAAGACGUAUUUCUCAUAUAUUCUUUUUUUAAGUCUUUAUACUUAUGACAAUGUGAUGCUGAUGUGCCAAAGGAUGAAGUAUCUCCUUGUUUGUGAAACCUAUACUGAAGCACAGUUCCUUCAAAUGCUUCAUGGCCCUAAUUUUAACAAGUCUCCUCUGAUAUAACAGGGAACCUUAUGACUUUAUUCUCAUAAAUUAAUGACUUUAUUCGCGUAAAUUCACGACUUAAAUCUCAAAGUCUUAAAAAAAAAAUCUCAAUAUGGCCCUCAUACUCCUUCAUACAAAACAAUCAUUGGAUAAAUUGUGCAAAGCAUUCUGGGAUACAGACGGCACGAAAGCGUGCAUAAAUGCAUGCUUGAAAAAAUGCUAAGCGCGCUUAGCAUUUCUUAGCAUCUCGUGCCAAAUGGGACACCGUUCGCGCCGUCAUGACGUCAUGCACGCUUCAAAUGCACCGUUCGACGGUGCAGAAGUGCACUUAGCCCGAUGCAGUCUCUGAAAUGAGACACAGCCAGGAAGUCCAGCCAAAAUAAAACAGAAGGAGGAGGCGUGUCACCACAGCCAGAUUACAAAGCCCAACAGGCGGCACAUGGCCUGAGGGCCAAAAAGGGAAACAGUUUAGAGGUGAUAUGCCAAUGCCUAUUUAUUAAGUGCUGUCAUGUGACAAAGGGAAAGGGACCCAAAAUUCAGACUUAACUAAAAUAAAUCAAUCAACAAAAAGGGAAGGUAUAACAAAAACUUCCUUUGCAAAGCUUAAAAAAUGAAAUCCAAAUAAAUUCACAACCCCAAAAACACUAGAAGCAGGGAAGAGCAUAUAAGCACUGGAGAACUGGGAAUUCACAAGAUCUCGACAAAACAGGGACAGGCAACAUGGACAACAUGGACAACAUGGACAGGCAUGAACAACAUGAAUUUGCAUGGACAGCAUGGAUAGCAUAGACAGCAUAGACAACAUGGCCAAUGAACCCACCAAGAAGGAGAGGAAGACAGGGACCUUAUAUACAUAGGGAAAGAGCAGCAGCAGAGACAGACAAGACACACAUGGGAUUCAUAAGUAAUUAAAGAAGGAAAAACUAUGGAAGUAAAACUAGACCUGACACACAGGGAUUAACUACUACAAAAUAAAACAGGAGACACUGAAAACUAAACUAAAAAUCCAAACUGUGAAACACAAGAACUACAAGAACAUGAGAAUGAUAAACACAGGGAUAAUAAACAGGAACAACAGGGAAAUAAACAGAAAAUAAAACUAAAUUACAAAACCGGGGACAAACUAAACUAACAAGAGCCUAUCAUUACAGGUGUUUUGUUAUACACAUUUGUUCAACCUUUCUUUCUCUGAAAGAUGCUUUUUUUCAUACAGUUGUCAAAAGGGCAUAUGAGGAAACACUCUGCAAAGCUUUAAGCCUUAAUGUUUGAAUGUACAUCUGCCAACAGUAUUCUGCUUAUGGAGACUGCACUUCAAUUUGGAUUAUUGAAGGACUAUGUUUUGUCUGGCAUCAAAAUUAACUAAACCCAUAACUACCCACCUUGAUAGGUUCAGUUAAAAAUAACUGUGAGGUUAGAAGUUUGUUUAGAAGCUCUAAAUAGGGUGUGUUUAGGUUCUAUUUAGUUUCUAUAAUCCUUAUCUAAUUUUUCUUUAACUCAGUGUAUGUCUUCCUGUAUUCUUUUGUUUUACUCAGUGUUUGGGGGCACGGAGAUAAAGUUUGAAGAAAAUCUAACUUUUGUUUUUGUAAUAAUAAAAAGGCUCUUAUUUCUUGAAAUGUCUCAACCAUAAACAAGGAUGAUCUCAAUCACUGGGAUUAUAUGCAUUUUUCAUGUAAAUAAUAGAUUUUUGAUUCUUGGGGAUAUCUUGUAUAUAAUAACCAAGUUCAAAUUCUAUGUUGUUGGCUAUCACAAAUACUGUAAAGGGCUUAUGCCACAGGAAUCCAAGUGAUGGUGUAUGAUGAGUGGCUUGAUGGGUGUCCCUCAAAAUAUCAGUAACACCAUUGUAGCGCUAUUUUCCUUCGUUUUUGUAGUGAGUUUAAUCUGGGAGACAUCUGGUGCUCUGAAAACCC
rnacentral:lncRNA from 1 species